CUGUCAAAGGCGACUACUCAAGUGACCGUCAAUAUAGGAUCCCUUUGUACAGGUGGUCUUGUCCAGUGCCAUUUGGCAUGGAAAUAACAUCCUGAUUGUAGUGGUGCUCUGGGACAGGCGAUCUCCUUAUCAGAGUGGUUGCCUAGACAGUUUUAACUGUGAUUAAAUGCUGCAACACAGAGUGUGUCACUCCAUAUCAACCGGCUCUCUAGCUUGUUGGCGAGUGGAAGUGGAACUUCACCAUGCCUUGUCAGUCCAGCCAUAGAGGUGUGGCAAGGUAGCCUGUAACACGCUGAGCAUUAGUUUCGUCUAGUACACUUCUAAGUGUAACUUAUUGAGUUAGAAGUAUAUGCCAUUCUUGUCGAGUCCGUAGCAAAACUGUAGGGAAUGCAAGCAGAAGUUGAUGCAGGAAUGUUGCUCUGAUUACAUCCAGGCUGGGCGUUGAUCAGCUAUUCUGCCCAAUUGUGCCUUCUUCCACAGGUUGAACCUGAUGGUCAGUGUGCUGCGGACUACGUCAUUGUCAUCGACGGUCUGGUGACCAAGGACAUAUUCAGCCUGGCGCCAGCGAAGGUCUCUGCCCUGGAGCUCUCUCAGAACACGCUGCCAAACACCAUUCACCAGCGCCGCCAAUCAGAUUGGUCUAGGGUUGUCGAGUGACUACACUAACACCAACAAGGGAUUCACCGUCUUCUAUAAAGCUGUUGGGCAUAGACUUUGAUACCUCCCGUCACAUGGCUGGCUCGACACGCCUCCACUGUCUCAUCCACUACGCCGGCUCGGUGGGUUUGGACAUACAGGAGCGUCUAGUCGAGUAGUAUCUGCUCAAGAUCCACUUCAAGGAUGCACACAACGUCAAUGACGUGGAUGUCCUGCUGGAGGCAGCUACAGAGGUUGGAUUGGAGCACGCAGCCAGCAAGGCUGCAAUGGAAGAUUCCAAGCUCAAAGAGAAAGUCUGGGUAGAGCAUCAGAGGGCGCGCAAAGAGCUCGGCGUCAAGGACCUGCCGUUUUUCGUCUUGUCGCUAAAGGGUCACUCCGACGAGGGGCCGCCAAGGUCCUUCAAGCACGAUGAACCAGCCGCCUGUCUUGUGGCCUGCAUCGAUGAGCUGCUCGCCAAACACCAGGGCAAUGGUGUCCAGUAAAACAGUCACUGCAUGCUGUAUACCAGCAAUGGCCAUGAAAACAAACCGGCCCAUGUCAGUAGAACUCUAUGAUGCUAUGUGUUAUGUGGAGCAAGAACUUGCCUGAUCUGAACAGUGGACGUAGCUAUGGCAUAGGUUUUCCUGCCAGCACAUGUAUGGAUUUGGUGAACUGAUGUCUGAACGAUUUUUGGAGACUCUCUCCCAUUGCUUGCCAAACAACACACUUGAUCUAGAGUACUGAAGCAGGUAUGUAGCUGCUGAGUGCCAUGUCUCACAGUUUAUUCUCAUUAUUCGUUGUCUUUGUGAAGAAACAAUUACCAAUAUGCAGAAUGAUCAUGCAAACGGUAGAGUGUAGGAGUUCUGGUGAAAAUACUGAUCCAUCCACUCUAAGUAGUUUAUUGCUUGAUAAUUGUAUUAAUAGUUUUAAAAAACUAUACAUGCUUUUAACCACACGAAUCACAAAACUUUUCUCACGGA